AUUGAACGCUGGCGGCAGGCCUAACACAUGCAAGUCGAACGGUAACAGGAUAGCUUGCUAUCGCUGACGAGUGGCGGACGGGUGAGUAAUACUUAGGGAUCUGCCCCGGGGUGGGGGACAACCAUUGGAAACGAUGGCUAAUACCGCAUAACGUCUACGGACCAAAGAGGGCUUCGGCUCUCGCCCUGGGAUGAACCUAAGCGAGAUUAGCUUGUUGGUGAGGUAAAGGCUCACCAAGGCGACGAUCUCUAGCUGUUCUGAGAGGAAGAUCAGCCACACUGGGACUGAGACACGGCCCAGACUCCUACGGGAGGCAGCAGUGGGGAAUAUUGCACAAUGGGGGGAACCCUGAUGCAGCCAUGCCGCGUGUGUGAAGAAGGCCUUCGGGUUGUAAAGCACUUUCAGUGAGGAGGAAAGGUUGGUGGUUAAUACCCAUCAGCUGUGACGUUACUCACAGAAGAAGCACCGGCUAACUCCGUGCCAGC
rnacentral:rRNA from 1 species